rnacentral:rRNA from 1 species
UACGAGGGGGGCGAGCGUUGUUCGGAAUUAUUGGGCGUAAGGGGUGCGUAGGCGGUUUGGUAAGUCUGAUGUGAAAUCUAUGGGCUCAACUCAUAGUCUGCAUCGGAAACUGCCGGGCUUGAGUGUGGGAGAGGUGAGUGGAAUUCCUGGUGUAGCGGUGAAAUGCGUAGAUAUCAGGAGGAACACCUGUGGCGAAAGCGGCUCACUGGACCAUAACUGACGCUGAUGCACGAAAGCUAGGGGAGCAAACAGG